ensembl:lncRNA
CAAGUGUGGAGCCAAACGACAACAAGAUUCUCAGAGGGCGGAGCCAGAGAGCAGUGACUGGUCAGACCAUAGAUAAUGUGGAAGACAGCGCGCUAGCGGAGCUAGUCUAUGUAUAUCGAUGGUCAGCACGUCUGGUAGCAUCUCUGGCUGCUGUUGACCUUGUUUUUGGAGUAAAACACGGUGGAAGCUGAAUUAGUGAGGAUGACUCCUGCUCCUGUCAUCUCUAAGCUCCUCCCACAUCUUUACCUGCACAUGAGGAAAAUCACUCCUGUAGAAUGCAGAUGUUCAGAGGGAGAUGAUGCCACAUCUGGUCCAGCUGAUGGAAGGUCUUGAAGUUCUCUGACUGGCCUCGACUGAAGAUGGUCGUCUCACUGGAUUUAAGAGAUGCACAAUGAGGGACGUCUGCAGCGACUGAGAAAGAGUCUCACCACAUCCUGACAUGAGGAAAAAGACUUUUUUGAAGACUACAAUGAGAAAAACUAUCAGACAGCAGACGGCUGCAUUCAAGUCUGUAGCUGCUGAAUUCAUGGAUGAAUCAUCUGGCACUAGAGAGGAAGACCAUCAAACAUCCACAUCAGCUGAUGGAGGUCCAAGAGUCUCACCAAACAAACAACCUACAGAGUGAAGACCUCAAAUCUGAUUGGACGGCCUCCUAUUCAGCCACAUGUGUGAACAAAUGCCUCUAAGCUGAUUUGUUUUCUAAAAUAAAUCUAGUUUGAGUCCUAAUCUAUGCCUGUGUGUUUGCUUCUUUAUGCUGCUGUUAACAGUUUAGGCUGUUAGAUUGUUCCAGAUAAGACAAGUACAAGAUUCUUCAGAGCCGUUCUACCACGAGCCUGACAGGAAGAACUCCAACAGCUACUGAAUGUUCCUGUGGUCCCCUCAAGGCUACAGGAGGAGUCCUACGAGGACGAGCCGGUCCACCUGAUGGUGGCCAGUUGCUGCGGUUCAAAGCCAACACCGACUACGUGGACUUCUACUGGACCACACGGAGGCCUUCAAACCGGACCAACAAGUUCACCGACUCCCCGACUCGUGGGUCUGAGGACGCCGCCGAGCCUCGGUCCAGCCGGCCUCCUGUCUGUGGGUGUUUGAGUGCUGAGAGGUUUGUGGAUGCAUGUGAACGUGUCUGUGUUGAAACAGCAGCUUUUGACUCACUAACGCCGGGAAAACCCAAGAAUUCCUUUAUUUGUGACUUCCACUAAAAAAACUGAUGAAAAUAAGUUUGCCAGAGUUCUGACUGAUAACAGAUUAUUAAAUAAUGAUAAUAAUCGUUUAAAUAUUCCUUUAAACAAUCCUUUUAGGUCUACAUUUCCUUUACACUGACUUCUUGGUACAUGUACAAGUAUUUUGGGUGGAAUAUACCAAUAAGCCUAAUGUUCAAGGGUUUUUCUGGGAAUAUACCAUUAAACCAACCUUUUAGGUAAAUGUUCCAGGAUGUUGGGUAGAAUAUACCAUCAGAUAAACCUUUUAGGUCUACAUUGGAAAAUUUUAGAGUAGAAUAUUACUCCAAACUAUCCUUUAGGUCUACAUUUAAGGUGGAAUACUACUUUACACCAAGAUUUUUUUGGUCUACAUUGAAGGAUUUUAGGUGGAAUAUUCCUUUGAACAAACUUUUUAAGUUUAUGUUCAAGGAUGCUGGGUGGAAUAUACCAUCAGACCAACCUCCAAGGUCUACAGUAGUGAAUUUUAGGUGGAAUAAACCAUUAAACUCACCUUUUAGGUAUACAUUGGAGGAUUUAAGGUGGAAUUUUCUUCUAGACCAUCUUUUAGUCUGCAUUUAAGGAUGUUUAGGAUGGUAUAUUCUACUAAACCAACUUCUCAGGUCUACAUUUCAGGUGGAAUAUUCCUCCAUACUAACUUUUUUGGUCAACAUUGAAGGAUUUUUUCUAAACCACCCUUUCGGGUCUAUAUUUGAGGUUUUAGGUGGAAUAUUCCUUUUAACCAGCCCCUCAGGUCUCUUUGAGGAUUUUGGAUGGAAUACUCGGUUAAACCGACAUUUUAGGUGCAUGUCCAAGGAUUUUUGGUGGAAUGUUCCUUUAAGGUGGAUGUUUGAGGACCUUGUAGGUGGAAUACUUCCUGACACCAACCUUUUAGGUCAACAUUCAAAGAUUUAAGGUGGAAUAUUCCUUUAAACCAACCUAAAUUUCACCUCAAACCUCAAUCCAGACUCCUCAUAAUGACAUUUGAGAUUGAUGCUGCUGUUAUUUGUUUAGUCCAGACUAAAUGACAGAAAUCCACAACUGUAAUUUUAUUUCAGGACUCGGUUAUUAAAUGUCAAAACAAUCCAUGUGACUCUAAAAACUCAACAGCUUUACAAACUCUAAGAUUAAACUCUCCACAAGGAUCCAAAAUAAGUUGGACUUCUACAUGAGAGCUUUAAUUAUUCUUCAUCUACUUCUUGAAAAGUUUGGUCAGUAAAAAAAGAUAAAAACUAAUAUUUUCAGCUGAACUAAAGACAGACUUUGUGAUUUUUCUGCUCACAUGUGAUGUUGUAAAC